rnacentral:sRNA from 1 species
AGGGGUGGAGGCACUGGCCCAGCCUCCCAGGUGCCGAGGCUCUGUUCCGGUUUUUUUUUUUUUGCCAUGGAACUGGGCAAGCAACAGGAGGGAAGCUGGGAACGCCAGCGCCUGGAGACCAUCCUGAACCUGUGUGCCGAAUACAGCCGGGCUGAUGGGGGACCUGAGGCUGGGGAGCUUCCCAGCAUUGGGGAGGCCACUGCAGCAUUGGCACUGGCAGGCCGGAGGCCCUCACGAGGCCUUGCAGGGGCCUCUGGGCGGAGCAGCGAGGAGCCUGGAGUUGCCACCCAACGCCUAUGGGAGAGUAUGGAGCGCUCAGAUGAGGAAAAUCUCAAGGAGGAGUGCAGCAGCACUGAGAGCACCCAGCAGGAGCACGAAGAUGCACCUAGCACCAAGCUCCAGGGAGAGGUGCUAGCCCUGGAAGAAGAGCGGGCUCAGGUGCUGGGGCGCGUGGAGCAGCUCAAGGUCCGUGUGAAGGAGCUAGAGCAGCAGCUGCAGGAGUCAGCCCGAGAGGCCGAAAUGGAGCGGGCACUGCUGCAGGGAGAGAGGGAGGCAGAGCGGGCACUGCUGCAGAAGGAGCAGAAGGCAGUGGAUCAGCUGCAGGAGAAGCUGGUGGCCUUGGAGACAGGCAUCCAGAAGGAGAGGGACAAGGAGGCAGAGGCCCUGGAGACUGAGACAAAGCUCUUUGAGGACUUGGAGUUCCAGCAGUUGGAGCGGGAGAGCCGCGUGGAGGAGGAGCGCGAGCUGGCCGGCCAGGGGCUGCUCCGGAGCAAGGCUGAGCUGCUCCGCAGCAUCGCCAAGAGGAAGGAGCGCCUGGCCAUCCUGGACAGUCAGGCUGGGCAGAUCCGGGCUCAGGCCGUGCAGGAGUCAGAACGCCUGGCCCGGGACAAGAAUGCCUCCUUACAGCUGCUGCAAAAGGAGAAGGAGAAGCUGACUGUGCUGGAAAGGAGAUACCACUCACUCACAGGGGGCAGGCCUUUCCCGAAGACCACAUCGACCCUCAAAGAGGUUUACCGCUCCAAGAUGGAUGGCGAGGCCACCAGCCCCCUUCCCCAGACCCGCAGUGGCCCCCUCCCCUCCUCCUCUGGCUCUUCCUCCUCCUCCUCCCAGCUCAGCGUGGCUACCCUGGGGCGUAGCCCCUCCCCAAAGAGCGCUCUACUCACCCAGAAUGGCACGGGCAGCCUUCCUCGCAACCUGGCAGCCACACUGCAGGACAUCGAGACCAAGCGCCAACUAGCUCUGCAGCAGAAGGGACAACAGGUGAUUGAAGAGCAGCGGCGGCGACUGGCUGAGCUGAAGCAGAAAGCGGCAGCUGAGGCACAGUGCCAGUGGGAUGCCCUUCAUGGGGCAGCACCCUUCCCAGCGGGCCCCUCGGGCUUCCCCCCUCUCAUGCACCACUCUAUCCUACACCACCUGCCUGCGGGGCGGGAGCGUGGGGAGGAGGGUGAGCACGCCUACGAUACGCUGAGUCUGGAGAGCUCUGACAGCAUGGAGACCAGCAUCUCCACCGGGGGCAACUCGGCCUGCUCCCCUGACAACAUGUCCAGCGCGAGUGGUCUGGACAUGGGGAAGAUCGAGGAGAUGGAGAAGAUGCUGAAAGAGGCUCAUGCAGAGAAGAACCGGCUCAUGGAGUCGAGGGAGCGGGAGAUGGAGCUGCGGCGGCAGGCCCUGGAGGAGGAGCGGCGGAGGCGUGAGCAGGUAGAACGGAGGCUGCAGAGUGAGAGUGCCCGGAGGCAGCAGCUGGUCGAGAAGGAGGUCAAGAUGCGGGAGAAACAAUUUUCCCAGGCACGACCCCUGACCCGCUACCUGCCAAUCCGGAAGGAGGACUUUGACCUGAAGACACAUAUUGAGUCAUCGGGCCAUGGUGUUGAUACCUGCCUGCACGUGGUGCUCAGCAGCAAGGUCUGCCGUGGCUACUUGGUCAAGAUGGGCGGCAAGAUUAAAUCAUGGAAGAAGCGCUGGUUUGUCUUCGACCGGCUCAAGCGCACCCUUUCCUAUUAUGUGGACAAGCAUGAGACGAAGCUGAAGGGAGUCAUCUAUUUCCAGGCCAUUGAGGAAGUGUACUACGACCACCUGCGCAGUGCAGCCAAGAGCCCGAACCCAGCCCUCACCUUCUGCGUAAAGACCCAUGACCGACUGUACUACAUGGUGGCCCCAUCUGCAGAGGCCAUGCGUAUCUGGAUGGAUGUCAUUGUCACAGGGGCUGAGGGCUACACUCAGUUCAUGAACUAACUGCCAUGGGCCUCCUGGCAGAGCACAACUGGGGCUUUUGUAUAAGAAGACUUUAAUAUUCUGUAAGGAGCUUGGUCCUGUGAGUUUCUGGGCUCUGGCCUCCUGAAGAACCAGCCAGAAGAAGAAAAGUAGAGGUGGCUUUGCUGCCUCCUGGGAACCCAGAACUUGCAGUAACCCUUUAGGGUCCUGCCCCAGGCCCAGCCAGGGCUGAGGAGCUGUCACAGAGAGGGCCUCAGCUCCGACCUGACACCUGCUCUCCCCAGCCUGUUUUCUCUUUUCUAAAAGACAAAUUAUGGUACCAUAAGCUGCCAAAGAUCCCCUCCUGCCUCAGACCCCUUUGCCAGGGGCUUUGGGGGCUGAGCAGAGCCACAUCCAGAGUGGGGUAAUAGCUCAGGCGGCCCGCUUCCCAUUUCUCAAACCCCGCUCUGCCCCAUUGUUCUCCUUUCCCUUAUACUUUUUAUUACCUUGCUCAAGGGCCAGAGAUCUCAAGUGUCAACCUUGAGGUCCCAGCUCCAUCCCCUAGUUGCAGACUCAUCACCAUGGUUACCAUAGUGACUGCUUCAUUGCCAUGGUUACAUACUAAUUGCUGCAGCUCUGUGGCCCAGCCCACUGCUUCAGCUGUGGGCCAUCUGAGGGUACGUGCCAUCAUCUCUCCAGCCCAGGCCCCUGGGCAUCUCAUGCUGGGGGGAAGGGACUGAACACCUUUUUCCUUCCCCCUGCCUGUGUCUUCAGCCCUGAUGCACAGGCUGCCAGCCCCCCAGUCCAGCCCUCUCCCUUCCACUGGUGCCUUGCUUAGAGCCAGAAGGGAUGAAGCCGGGGGAUCUAUGGAACAGAGGAGGAGCGAUGCAGUUGGGAGAGGAAGCUAGAAGGGUUAUGGUUGGAGUUCUGUACAGGGUUGAGUUUCCGACAGGGAAAGAGGAUUCCUCCAAUGCUCCUAGAGAGAAAGCCUGAGCAGGAGAUGAUGCAGCAGAGGGGAAGGGCCCUGUGGUGCCGCCGCCCUUCCUUCAGCCUCCGAAGGGUGAUGGAAAUGGAGAGUGGAGGACCAGGCCUCCAGCUGUCUGGCCUCGCCCUUCACGCCUUAACACUAAGCCCACCUCCCCUGCUCUCCUUCCCAGCAUUGAGCCCUUGGUUGCCUGGGCCCAGGCUGGGGGUUUUCAGUAUUUGUAAGCAUUUCAGCAGAACAAUAAAGCCUUUGGACUACGGAA